AGCGAACGCUGGCGGCAGGCCUAACACAUGCAAGUCGAACGAAGUCUUCGGACUUAGUGGCGGACGGGUGAGUAACACGUGGGAACGUGCCUUUAGGUUCGGAAUAACUCAGGGAAACUUGUGCUGAUACCGAAUGUGCCCUUCGGGGGAAAGAUUUAUCGCCUUUAGAGCGGCCCGCGUCUGAUUAGCUAGUUGGUGAGGUAAAGGCUCACCAAGGCGACGAUCAGUAGCUGGUCUGAGAGGAUGAUCAGCCACAUUGGGACUGAGACACGGCCCAAACUCCUACGGGAGGCAGCAGUGGGGAAUCUUGCGCAAUGGGCGAAAGCCUGACGCAGCCAUGCCGCGUGAAUGAUGAAGGUCUUAGGAUUGUAAAAUUCUUUCACCGGGGACGAUAAUAACGGUACCCGGAGAAGAAGCCCCGGCUAACUUCGUGCCAGCAGCCGCAGUAACAC
rnacentral:rRNA from 1 species